rnacentral:rRNA from 1 species
UACCAGCACCCCGAGUGGUCGGGACGAUUAUUGGGCCUAAAGCAUCCGUAGCCGGUCAUGCAAGUCUUCCGUUAAAUCCAGCCGCUCAACGGUUGGGCUGCGGAGGAUACUACGUGGCUAGGAGGCGGGAGAGGCAAGCGGUACUCAGUGGGUAGGGGUAAAAUCCUUUGAUCAAUUGAAGACCACCAGUGGCGAAGGCGGCUUGCCAGAACGCGCUCGACGGCGAGGGAUGAAAGCUGGGGGAGCAAACCGG